CCUACGGGUGGCAGCAGUGAGGAAUAUUGGUCAAUGGGCGAGAGCCUGAACCAGCCAAGUCGCGUGAGGGAGUACUGCCCUAUGGGUUGUAAACCUCUUUUGUCGGGGAGCAAAAGCCGGACGUGUCCGGCUGUGAGAGUACCCGAAGAAAAAGCAUCGGCUAACUCCGUGCCAGCAGCCGCGGUAAUACGGAGGAUGCGAGCGUUAUCCGGAUUUAUUGGGUUUAAAGGGAGCGUAGGUGGAUUGUUAAGUCAGUUGUGAAAGUUUGCGGCUCAACCGUAAAAUUGCAGUUGAAACUGGCAGUCUUGAGUACAGUAGAGGUGGGCGGAAUUCGUGGUGUAGCGGUGAAAUGCUUAGAUAUCACGAAGAACUCCGAUUGCGAAGGCAGUUCACUGGACUGCAACUGACACUGAGGCUCGAAAGUGUGGGUAUCAAACAGGAUUAGAUACCCCUGUAGUC
rnacentral:rRNA from 1 species